GACUCGGUGGCUUAGUUAGUAAAGCAUUUGUCUGGCGUACAAGGGUCGUGAGUUCAAAUCUCACCAGGGCUG
rnacentral:tRNA from 1 species